rnacentral:misc_RNA from 1 species
UUUCCGUAGGUGAACCUGCGGAAGGAUCAUUACCGAAUUGUCAAACGGGUUGUUGCUGGUCUUCAAACGGGGACAUGUGCACGCUCUGUUUACACAUCCACUCACACCUGUGCACCCCCCGUAGUUCUAUGGUCUGGGGGACCCUGUCUUCCUGCCGUGGUUCUACGUCUUUACACACACUCUGUAAUAAAGUCUUAUGGAAUGUAUGCCGCGUCUAACGCAAUACAAUACAACUUUCAGCAACGGAUCUCUUGGCUCUC